rnacentral:piRNA from 1 species
UAUUCCAAAGCCACUAGUUGGGCGUCC